AAACCAGCACCUCAAGUGGUCAGGAUGAUUAUUGGGCCUAAAGCAUCCGUAGCCGGCUCUGUAAGUUUUCGGUUAAAUCUGUACGCUUAACGUACAGGCUGCUGGGAAUACUGUAGAGCUAGGGAGUGGGAGAGGUAGACGGUACUCGGGAGGAAGUGGUAAAAUGCUUUGAUCUCUCGAUGACCACCUGUGGCGAAGGCGGUCUACCAGAACACGUCCGACGGUGAGGGAUGAAAGCUGGGGGAGCAAACCGGAUUAGAAACCCGGGUAGUCC
rnacentral:rRNA from 1 species